CGAAGGGUGCAAGCGUUACUCGGAAUUACUGGGCGUAAAGCGUGCGUAGGUGGUUCGUUAAGUCUGUCGUGAAAGCCCCGGGCUCAACCUGGGAAUGGCGAUGGAUACUGGCGGGCUAGAGUGCGGUAGAGGGUGGUGGAAUUCCCGGUGUAGCAGUGAAAUGCGUAGAGAUCGGGAGGAACAUCAGUUGCGAAGGCGGCCACCUGGACCAGCACUGACACUGAGGCACGAAAGCGUGGGGAGCAAACAGGAUUAGAUACCCUGAUAGUCCACGCCCUAAACGAUGCGAACUGGACGUUGGGAGCAACUAGGCUCUCAGUGUCGAAGCUAACGCGUUAAGUUCGCCGCCUGGGGAGUACGGUCGCAAGACUG
rnacentral:rRNA from 1 species